rnacentral:lncRNA from 1 species
UACGCGAUGGCAACUACUGGGAAUCAUGGAUUGUGAUAGUGUGGCCAUUGAAGUUGAAACUUUGCUCCAAUAAAAGACUGUUGCAGC